rnacentral:rRNA from 1 species
CCUACGGGAGGCAGCAGUGGGGAAUAUUGCGCAAUGGGGGGAACCCUGACGCAGCAACGCCGCGUGAGUGAAGAAGGCCUUCGGGUUGUAAAGCUCUUUAAUCAGGGACGAAGAAUGACGGUACCUGAAGAAUAAGCUCCGGCUAACUACGUGCCAGCAGCCGCGGUAAUACGUAGGGAGCAAGCGUUAUCCGGAUUUAUUGGGUUUAAAGGGUGCGCAGGCGGAAGAUCAAGUCAGCGGUAAAAUUGAGAGGUUCAACCUCUUCGAGCCGUUGAAACUGGUUUUCUUGAGUGAGUGAGAAGUAUGCGGAAUGCGUGGUGUAGCGGUGAAAUGCAUAGAUAUCACGCAGAACUCCGAUUGCGAAGGCAGCAUACCGGCGCUCAACUGACGCUCAUGCACGAAAGUGUGGGUAUCGAACAGGAUUAGAUACCCCAGUAGUC